rnacentral:pre_miRNA from 1 species
AUUCUACUCCCUCCGUUGCACAAUACAUGCCUUCUAUUUGUCAAAAUAUAUAUGUAUAUAGACAUGUUUUAGUAUAUAGGUACAUCCAUUUUUGGACAAAUGGAAGUUAAGUAUUUUGGAACGGAGGGAGUACACA